CUGGGGCGCAGUCAGCUGUGGCACCUGCAUCAGGGUGGGGCCUGUGCCUGUCAGCUGGUGGGACCGAGAGCCUUCCGUUGCGGGAGCCCAGUCCUGCUUCUCCUUGGUGACCGCAGCUGGAGCUGCUCCCACCACUAGCCCGAGAGCCCUGUCUGCCCUGUGCCCGGCCUUGCCAUGGUUGUGCUCCCUUCCCCUGGCACAGGAUUCUUGUGGCUUUAUCCACACGUGUCUUUAAUGACGUUGUAGCUAGCAAGGCUCUUAUCACCUUCUUUCCCUAAAAUUGGCUGAAAUGUUAAGUGACAUGUGAAAAAUAUGGAAUGUCAACUUGGCUUUCCCUUGCUCUUCCUUUAUUCAUUUUAAUGAAAUGGUCUUGUUUGUUAUGUGACAACCAGGAAGGAUGCUGUGAGGAGGGGAGGGUUGGAGGCCGCCUUUCUGCCUCUCCUUCCAGUGCCCUCCGUGUCUUCCAGGUGGAGGCUGACAGAGGAGGCAGGAGGAGGGGAGGAGGCCCGGGCGCUGCUGCUCUCCCAGUGCUCCCGGCCUUGCAGCUGCGUGUGUGAGCCCGAAGGGAAGGCCUGCAGCUGGGGGACAGGCUGCGGAGGGGCCCACGCUCGUGCUGCUGGAGGACGCGGCCACCGAGAUCUCAGACUGGAUUAGAAGUUCCCUCCCAGGCAGCAAGUAGGACAGCCGCCCUGCCUGCCAGGUGUUCCGUGUUGCCCCCUGGGGUCCUUCAACCUGCAGGCCUUGCUGCUGCCCUCCAAGGAGACCUUGCCUGAGGAUUCGGCCCUGGAGAGACCCAGAUGUUGAACUUGCUGAACUCUGGCAGCCCCAUUGCUUUGGCACCAAAGCGUCAGGAUGCUGUCCAGAGUAAUCAGAUUCCCCACAGUUUGGGGUUGAUGUUAGCAUCGGCAAGAAGCAGAGGAGUGAGAAGUUGUCCAGGUGUGCAGCUGUCAGCAGGACCAACCACCAAGGACUAAAGAGGAUGCAGCUCCGAUCAGGGAGUAAGCAUCAGAUAAAAUUUCAUGCUGCUCACUUCUUAAUACACACGGACAAAGCUGGAGAGAUCAGAAAAAUCACGAAUGCUGCAUGGCCAUUCAUUUGUCCCAAAUUGUGUUCAUUGAAGAACAGGCAGCUGGCAUUUGGAAAAGGUUAGGUCUAUAUAUUGCAGUCUUUAUCAUACUCAAAAAAUGCUUCCAUGAAUCAACCUGAACUGAUUUAUUGUGAUGCCAUGACUGCAUAUUUGGAAUGAAUCUACUACUGUGUUUUGGAGCUUUAAAAAUAAAAGCCACUGAUCAGGAGGAAAAUACCUUAAGAAGAUAGUGUGAUUUAUUAGUGUAUGAAGUUAUUCUUAAAGAAUGAAUAAAGUACUAAGGUU